CAGCCGCCACGGUAAUGCGUAGGGUGCAAGCGUUAAUCGGAAUCACUGGGCGUAAAGCGUGCGUAGGCGGUUUGUUAAGUCUGUUGUGAAAUCCCCGGGCUCAACCUGGGAAUGGCAAUGGAUACUGGCAAGCUAGAGUGUGACAGAGGAUGGUGGAAUUCCCGGUGUAGCGGUGAAAUGCGUAGAUAUCGGAAGGAACACCUGUGGCGGAAGCGGCUCACUGGACCAUUUCUGACGCUGAUGCACGAAAGCUAGGGGAGCAAACAGGAUUAGAUACCCCCGUAGUCCCUGUCUCUUAUAA
rnacentral:rRNA from 1 species